GAGAUAUUAGUAUAAAUUUUUUGUAUAUUUCUUUUUCGAAGAAAAGGUGUAUUAUCUUA
rnacentral:tRNA from 2 species